GACGAACGCUGGCGGCGUGCUUAACACAUGCAAGUCGAACGGAAAGGCCCUGCUUUUGUGGGGUGCUCGAGUGGCGAACGGGUGAGUAACACGUGAGUAACCUGCCCUUGACUUUGGGAUAACUUCAGGAAACUGGGGCUAAUACCGGAUAGGAGCCCCUGCUGCAUGGUGGGGGAUGGAAAGUUUCGGCGGUUGGGGAUGGACGCGCGGCUUAUCAGCUUGUUGGUGGGGUAGUGGCUUACCAAGGCUUUGACUGGUAGCCGGCCUGAGAGUGUGAUCGGCCACAUUGUGACUGAGGUACGGCCCAGUCUCCUGCGGUAUGCAGUAGUGGUGAAUAUAGCACAAUGGGCGGACGCUUGAUGCAGCAACGCCGCGUGCGGGAAGACGGCCAUCGGGUUGUAACCGGCUUUAGCCUGUGACGGAGCGUGAGUGACGGUAAUGGCUAAAGAAGCACCGGCUGACUACGUG
rnacentral:rRNA from 1 species